rnacentral:rRNA from 1 species
GAUGAACGCUGGCGGCGUGCUUAACACAUGCAAGUCGAACGGAAAGGCCAGUGCUUGCACUGGUACUCGAGUGGCGAACGGGUGAGUAACACGUGGGUGAUCUGCCCUGUACUUCGGGAUAAGCUUGGGAAACUGGGUCUAAUACCGGAUAGGACAACUUUUUGGAUAUUGUUGUGGAAAGCUUUUGCGGUAUGGGAUGAGCUCGCGGCCUAUCAGCUUGUUGGUGGGGUAAUGGCCUACCAAGGCGUCGACGGGUAGCCGGCCUGAGAGGGUGUACGGCCACAUUGGGACUGAGAUACGGCCUAGACUCCUACGGGAGGCAGCAGUGGGGAAUAUUGCACAAUGGGCGCAAGCCUGAUGCAGCGACGCCGCGUGGGGGAUGAAGGCCUUCGGGUUGUAAACUCCUUUCGCUAGGGACGAAGCUUUUUUGUGACGGUACCUGGAGAAGAAGCACCGGCUAACUACGUG